AUACGUAGGUGACAAGCGUUAUCCGGAUUUACUGGGCGUAAAGGGCGUGUAGGCGGUCUUGCAAGUCAGAAGUGAAAUUCCUGAGCUCAACUCGGGCGCUGCUUCUGAAACUGCAGGACUUGAGUGCUGGAGGGGAUAGCGGAAUUCCUAGUGGAGCGGUAAAAUGCGCAGAUAUUAGGAAGAACACCGGUGGCGAAGGCGUCUAUCUGGACAGUAACUGAAUCUGUGACGCGAAAUCGAUGCGAGCAAACAGGAUGAGAUACCCUGUGUAGCCACGCCGUAAACGAUGAAUACUAGGUGUAGUGGGUAUCGACUCCCUCUGUGCCGCAGUUAACACAAUAAGUAUUCCGCCUUGGGCGUUCGGCCGCAAGGUUGAAACUCAAAUGAAUUGACGGGU
rnacentral:rRNA from 1 species